GAGUUUGAUCAUGGCUCAGAACGAACGCUGGCGGCAUGCCUAACACAUGCAAGUCGAACGAAGCCUUCGGGCUUAGUGGCGCACGGGUGCGUAACGCGUGGGAAUCUGCCCUUGGGUUCGGAAUAACAGUUAGAAAUGACUGCUAAUACCGGAUGAUGUCUUCGGACCAAAGAUUUAUCGCCCAAGGAUGAGCCCGCGUAGGAUUAGCUAGUUGGUGAGGUAAAGGCUCACCAAGGCGACGAUCCUUAGCUGGUCUGAGAGGAUGAUCAGCCACACUGGGACUGAGACACGGCCCAGACUCCUACGGGAGGCAGCAGUGGGGAAUAUUGGACAAUGGGCGAAAGCCUGAUCCAGCAAUGCCGCGUGAGUGAUGAAGGCCUUAGGGUUGUAAAGCUCUUUUACCCGGGAUGAUAAUGACAGUACCGGGAGAAUAAGCCCCGGCUAACUCCGUGCCAGCAGCCGCGGUAA
rnacentral:rRNA from 1 species